ACUUUUAACUUUAGAAACAUUGAAGUUGUCCCUUUUUUAUCAAUAACUUCAUGUGGAAAAGUAUUCUUUUCAAGGGAAUCAUGGUUAAGAAUUUGUAUUAGAGGUUGGCAGUGAUACUAUAGUAAGUUUGCAUUUUAUACCAGCUAGCAGGACUUCAUAGAAAUUUGUUAGAGGAAUUGCAACAACCUUGACCAAAUAUUAUUUUUCUUAUUCCUUUCUAGUUUUAGACAAAAACAAUAGAGAAUCUCAAUCCUUCUACUGUCGCAGUACUUGAAGUAGAGCAACCGCUGCCUCAAACUUCAAAGAAGAUGGGCAUGAAUGGCUGUUUUGGUUGCAGGUUACUCCAAGAACAAGUGCAUUAUAUUUCUGUGUAUCCAGUAGCUUAUGCAGCCCAUAAUUACUUUACCAACAGAUUCAUGAUUGGGAGAAGUAGCUAAAGAUCUCUGGAGCACCUUGAGGUAGCAAUCCAGCCUACAAUGUCACAUUUGUAUGACCACUGCUCAAGAGAAAUAUUUUUUGAAUAUUUUACUAACAUUCUCGUGAACCUGCACCUGAAAGUUUUAAUUUUUGCAGCAAGCGAUGCAGAGAAACAAGACAAAUAACUACGAAGUAGUAGAUCAUAGAAAGGACUGGUGUCAAUUGAUCAGUCAUAGUCAAAGAAUGAUAUGGAAAUUAAACUAAGCACGACAUGUCGAAAUAAUAGCAGAACCAGAGCAAGAGAAAAAAGUUGAUUAGCAGGUCGACAGUGAUGCCUGCUAAGAGAGAAUCCACACGUCCAUCCUUUUGCCACUGCUGAAGCCCCACAUCCUCGAUCUCGACACGCUUGCCUGCCAUCCUGGCCAACGUCCUCGCUAUGGCCCCGAAGCCACGCAACCACCUCGCCAGCUGUUGCUAGAGCCGAGCGCGUUGGCAGACUCCGCACCCAAGGUUUUUAGUUGAUGAAGGACGAAGUCCGCACCAAGAAGACCAUUCUGAUGGAUUCAAGAGAAUCAAAAGUGAAGAAUCAAGUUACAAUAAAUAUGUCGAUUACAAAUAUGCCUACAGAUACACAAGUGGUUUUCAGAUAUCUUUGCUUGAUUUGGAGCUGCUCAAAGAAAAAGGAUGGCCACAUAUAUAUGGUAGUUACUUCCAUGUCACAAAGGUGCUCUUCAGUAGAUGAACUGCACACCUGAACGCAUCACUAAUGGAAAGAUUCAGCAUCUUGGUCGGCUGCUUGCGGCGGGGCUUGUGGCUGGUGGUUGCGGCAGUGGCAGAGCAGUGUCCGAGAGCGCGGCGCAAGCAGUGGCCCCUGCUAUGUGGGCUGAUGGGAGCACACCAUCCAAGCAGCACUUCCAAGUAUGACAAUGUCCGCUCUACACCAAGUUUAGCUCUCCAUAUGGUGCCCAUUUUUUUACGGGUAAGGCAAGAGCUCUGCCAAUUCAUUAAAGUUGAGGGGAAACUGUAAAGAAGGCAUAAAAAGAAGAAGGAAAAGCGCCACAAAAUAAAUGGAGGUCUAAAUACUGGAUGAGAUUUUCAUUGCUGGCAUUCUUCAUGAACCUGUCAAGGAGAACAUUUCAAUACUAAUUGUUGCAAAGGUGUUCUCACCACCGGCUAGCAAGAAGAGAGUUAUUUGGAAUGAUGGUAGGUAUUAAUGAAGUAGUUCACGUUGGACUGGCUCAAAGUGGAGAAACAUGAUUGUAUUAUUAAGCAUUUAAGCUCCUAGCAAUUUAGAACCUCGAUAUCUUGGGGCUGCCUUGCAUUAUUUCAGAGAGCUGUAUUUUUUUCGGACAUUUUAUAUUGCCACACAAUGAGAGUUGAAAGUUCUGGUCUGGCAUGAUGUGCUGUCAGGACACGUCCCCACUUAUGUUCUAGGUUUGGGGGUUUGCAGAUUUGUUUAAAGGGAACACAGUACUCCAUGUGUUUGUCUUUAAUUAAUGGAUAAUAACAAUACACAUGCUUUCGUGAGAUGAUCGAAUCUUAAGCAUAAAUAAUAAAGGCAUUCAAGUGUUAUUAUCAUUUGUAAUGAAGUGCACAAUAAAGAG